UACAGAAGGGGCAAGCGUUAUUCGGAAUUAUUGGGCGUAAAGGGCGCGUAGGCGGCUUUGCAAGUGACGGGUGAAAUCCCUCGGCUUAACCGAGGAACUGCCUGUCAAACUGCAUGGCUUGAGACCGGGAGAGGUGAGUGGAAUUCCUAGUGUAGAGGUGAAAUUCGUAGAUAUUAGGAAGAACACCAGUGGCGAAGGCGGCUCACUGGCUCGGUACUGACGCUGAGGCGCGAAAGCGUGGGGAGCAAACAGGAUUAGAAACC
rnacentral:rRNA from 1 species